rnacentral:rRNA from 1 species
CAAGCAUGUUUAUUCACUUAUUUCCUUCCGUAGUGACGUGCGGAAGAUCAUUA